rnacentral:rRNA from 1 species
GAUUUCUGGUAGUGCGCGCCCGGGCGACGUGAGCAAUCGCGCCAGUCCCGGUGUUUCGUGCAUGCCAUCCUGUACGAUACCUUCACGUACUUAACUGUACGGGAAGUGUUCGUACUCAUUUACUUUGAAAAAAUUAGAGUGUUUAAAGCAGGCUUACGCUGUGAAUACAUUAGCAUGGAAUAAUAAUUUAGGACUUCGGUCUCUAUUUUGUUGGUUUCUAGAGCUGAAGUAAUGAUUGAUAGGGAUAGUUGGGGGUGCUAGUAUUCAUCGGCCAGAGGUGAAAUUCUUGGAUUCGAUGAAGACUAACUUAUGCGAAAGCAUU